GCCCAAGAGAUCGGGAUAACACCUGGUAGACAGAUGCUAAUACCGGAUAACAACAGAUGAUGCCUAUCAACUGUUUAAAAGAUGGUUCUGCUAUCACUCUUGGAUGGACCUGCGGUGCAUUAGCUAGUUGGUAGGGUAACGGCCUACCAAGGCGAUGAUGCAUAGCCGAGUUGAGAGACUGAUCGGCCACAUUGGGACUGAGACACGGCCCAAACUCCUACGGGAGGCAGCAGCC
rnacentral:rRNA from 1 species